CAUCCAUCUACCCAUCCAUCCAUCCACCCAAUAUCCAACCAUCCAUCUAUCCAUCUAACCGUCUAUCCACCCAUCCAUCAUCCAAACAUCUAUCCAUCAUCCGUCCACCCAGCCCUUCAUCCAUCCAUUUAUCCAUUAAUCUACCCAUCCAUCCACCCACCCAUCUACCCAUCCUUCCAUUUAUCCAUUCAUCUGCUCAUCUGUCCAUCCAUCCACCCACGCAACCAUUAUCUAACCAUCCAUCCAUCCAUCCAUGCACCCAUCAUCCAUCCAUCCAUCCAUCCAUCCAUCCUUCAGCAGCUUUCUCUGUGUCAGGCGCCAUGUUGGAAUGUGGGAUAGAGUGAUGGACAAAGCAGGCCUGUGCCUGCCCUUGUGGGAGUUGUGUGUUGGGGAGUCAGACACACAGAAAAGGUUGAAUUGUGGCUGCAGUAAGCACCACAGCUGGUGUCGUUUGACUUGAUCAUGGGGAUCCAUCUCGUUGGGGCCGUCAGGGCAGGGAGGAAUUCCAGUCUGUCUGCUGUCUCUGUCCGUCUUCCAGUUCCAGAAUCUGCUUGGAUCCUGUACAGCCUGCCCAGCAGGAGGUGCACAUGAUGGCAGAAGGAUUCUAAACAAGGGCCAUGCUUCUGAGUAGCGGGGUGCUCCUGGUGGGUGAAGGCUCCAGCCCGAGGCUGCUUGUCACCGCCUCCCCUCUCCCAGGCCUGGGGCAUCUGCACCAGGGCCUCCUCCUGUUCUGGGACCCUGGUAGCUCCAGGCCAGCUUCCCUGACAGAACAGCCGCUGCCUGGGACAGCUCGGGGUCUGAGUGUUUCCGGGGCAAGCUCCAGCCCGGCUGCAUCUGGUAUGGCAGCCCCGAGUGCUGACCAGGGUGGAGGUGGAGAAGAGCCUGCGAACUCCCACAGCCAAGGGCCCAAGGGGCAGGGAUGGAGGGGCCUUGGCCUGGGAACGACCUUGUACAACCUGCAACCAUGGGCAAAGACUCAUGCAUGAACAUACAUGUGCAUGCCCUCACUGACAGAGUCACACACACUGGCCAGAGACAGCCGGCUGGGGGGCCAUAGUGUGCCCAGAGAAGGAGCUGUUGCAGCCCUGCAGGGUCAGCGGUCGCCUUGCUCCUGUCUCUUUGCCCAACCCAAGGUCAUAGUGGUCACACUCUGGG
rnacentral:lncRNA from 10 species